AGCGAACGCUGGCGGCAGGCUUAACACAUGCAAGUCGAAAGCCCCGCAAGGGGAGUGGCAGACGGGUGAGUAACACGUGGGAACGUACCCUUUGGUUCGGAAUAACUUGGGGAAACUCAAGCUAAUACCGGAUAAGCCCUUAUGGGGAAAGGUUUACUGCCGAAGGAUCGGCCCGCGUCUGAUUAGCUAGUUGGUGAGGUAACGGCUCACCAAGGCGACGAUCAGUAGCUGGUAUGAGAGGAUGAUCAGCCACACUGGGACUGAGACACGGCCCAGACUCCUACGGGAGGCAGCAGUGGGGAAUAUUGGACAAUGGGGGCAACCCUGAUCCAGCCAUGACGCGUGAGUGAUGAAGGCCUUAGGGUUGUAAAGCUCUUUUACCCGGGACGAUAAUGACUGUACCGGGAGAAUAAGCCCCGGCUAACUUCGUGCCAGCCGCCGCCGUAA
rnacentral:rRNA from 1 species